UACGUAGGCAGCGAGCGUUGUUCGGAGUUACUGGGCGUAAAGGGUGUGUAGGCGGUUCUUUAAGUUUGGUGUGAAAUCUCCCGGCUCAACCGGGAGGGUGCGCCGAAUACUGAGGGACUAGAGUGCGGGAGAGGAAAGUGGAAUUCCUGGUGUAGCGGUGAAGUGCGUAGAUAUCAGGAGGAACACCGGUGGUGUAGACGGCUUUCUGGACCGUAACUGACGCUGAGACACGAAAGCGUGGGUAGCAAACAGG
rnacentral:rRNA from 1 species